UGAGUCCUUCCCCAUCUUGUCCUAUAUAACCAAGGCCUAGUCGCUUCUUUUAAGUUUGCCACCUUGAACUACUUUCAUUCAAUCUCUCUCUUUUGCCCAAAAAAAAAUAUGGCCUCCCAUGGAAACAUUACUGUAAGCACCUCCCCAAAAGGCAGCAACUCGGAAGCAGCUGUGCCAACCAAUUCACCCAAAGGCGGCCAAUGUUUGUGCUCACCAACGACUCACCAGGGCUCGUUUCGAUGCAGAUUUCAUCGGUCAAGUUCAUCAGCCUGGAUGAAGCGAUCAAAGUCCAUGCCUGCCAAUGGUUCCCUGGCUUCUCUUUCUCCCAAGUCUGUGGAAUCUACAUAAAUUAUAAAUACUAAAACUCUGUUCCUAUAAGCAUAUGUUCCUCCAUGUUCUCAUGAAAAUCUCCCUUUGUCUCCCUACUAUGUGAAAAAGAGAAUAUCUAGGUAUGCUGGAUUUUCUGUAUUUGCUUGGGAUAUGUGAUUAUAAAUAUCUGCAACUGUUUAAAUUCAAAGAGCUAAUCAAGAGCUUAGCUUCUAUUGAUUGUUGUCUGGUAAAGCUCUCUCUCCUUUCCAAGUUAACUGCAAAAAUAGCUAUUAGUUCAACACUUCUCAAUUCUCAUGCAUCGAUAUGCAAUCGAUCUACAAGCAAAAUCCUGACUGGUUUCAUCUUAAUUUUGUCUUUGCACUAACCUUUAUUGCCAUAGCUUGUUUGUAGUUUCCCUCUACCUCUUUGUCCCAUAGCUGAGUUGAUCAUUAACAAACCUGACCCUACGAUUUCAUAAAGGCGAAUUUCGAUUCUAAAUUCUCAUCAUACUUAAUUGCCAAAGGAUUCUUUUAUCUAGUAACUGAUCACAUAUUCAAAGGUGAUAUAGCUUUUGGAAAUAUCUCAACUUUAAAUCUAACCUACCUUUCAUGGUUUCCAGCUAUAAAGCUAAUUAUAUGUUCCUUUCAACUACAGCAUAAAGAACAUUCUAAAGAAAUUAAAGUUAUCUUUCUAAUAUCUGUCCAUCCUUGAUAAUCAGAUGCCUAUGCCAUUUGAGCCCCAGGGCUGACCUUUUUUUUUUUUUUGCUUAAAAUAUAAGAGAUCUUUAUCCACAUAAAACUGUGAAUAUUGCCUUGCCUCCCAAUUUUUUCUGGACUCAAAUGGAACGGUUUGAGAUGAGCUUUGAAUGGUCUGCAAUGGUUUUGUCAACUUAUAUUUGAAAUUGCAUUUGCAUGAUUCAAAAAUCAAGGAAAGAAUAAUCUUUUCCCUUUUUUUUCCAAAUAAGUUAGCAGCCAAAAAGGCAAUGGGCCUUUGGAUAAUGACAGUGGAAGAGUAUGCACCAGUUUGAUUGAUUGUUUCGUGCCUUGUAUAUUACUCUUCUCUCAAAAAGAUGUCACUUUCUCUAUGGUUUGUUUAUAUAUCCUUUUUAAUUUAAAUGAAGGCACUGAGAUGUACAGUGAAUGAAAUUAAAAGACAAUUAUAAUGCAUGCACAUGGAUUCAAAGUCAUAAUAAGAUUAAUUAGUGAGAUUGCCUUAUCCAAUGUUUUUUUGUUUAGUCUUUCUUUUUUCUUCUAAAUAAAAAUGAUGGAAUCCCCCCAUCACCAACUAACUUUUUUGAAUAAUUCUAUUAAAAAUGUCAUGGCUUGUCUCUUAUUCAAUGUUUUCAAAACCAAACAUAAAGCUGGGUUACAUUUGAUACUCUUCCUCAGAUGAGACAUGUUCUAAUGGGUAUGGUUUUUGCUAAUAUUUAAAAAUUAUAAUGAAUAAUUGCAUGACACAAAGAAACAUUAAUUUGAUUAAUAAUAAUUGAAUUCAUACUAUAAAUGAAUUGGAUAAAAGUGAUUCUGUAACAUUUUAGUGUUUCAUAUGCUUAUUCUUUAGAAAAAAAAUUGACAUCAUUUUACUUGUUAAACCCCCAAAAUGAAAUCAAUGUGUCUUUUUAGGCCAAAAAAUAUAUGAUCCAAAUGCUUUUACAUCCCAUCCCUUGAUUUGGCAUCAAUGUUUUAUAAUUGAAAUUUGAGGUUGAAUAUUUUUUAUUUGAAAAUUAGAAUAAAAACUUAUUAUGUAUUGAUGUAAAUUUUAUCGAAUUGAUGUCACUUUUUGUGUCAAUAAUUUUUUGACGAAAUAAAAUUCAAAUGAUAUUCCAUCGAAACGUUUGUCACAGAAUAAAUCCAUCCAAAAAGGUGAAUUUUUUGUAGUACCGCUCUUCAAAUAGAAAAGAUAUAUGACAUGAUAAAAUAUUUAAAGGAAAAAUGUAAUUAUUCCAAAACAAAAAGGAUAUUGGGAAUUGAUUUUACCUUUUACACUCAAAAGUUUAUUCCAAUUUUAUAUUCAACUCUAAAAUUUUAUACACUCUUUCCAUAAUAAAUAAAUAUUGAAAAUGCACAUAUUCUAUCCUAUGAUCAUGCUUUUUCUUUUAAGUUUUGCUACUCAAAAUCCACAAUUUUCCUGUUUAUUUUCUUCCAAUAAAAAGUAAAAAAAAAAAAAAGGAUUUUGUCAAUAGAAAAACUAAUGAGAGCAUAAUUGUACUUUCAGCCCAUUGCCAUGUUGCCUACUUUUGCAAUUGCAAAUUUUCAAAGCUUCUUAUCUUCAAAACAAAAAUGCCCAAUCUUUUGGCAAUCCCCACCUUAUUAUUUGACAUCGCUUUAAUAAUAUCUUAAAACACCAACCAAGACUAAGUGUGUACUCUUUAAAUUUAAAAUAAUGAUGACAACUAGUGCGUUUAGUAAAGGAAUGAAUUAUUUAUACCUUAAAAUUUUGGGGUAAAUAUAUUUAAAGUUGGUUAUUGCUCAAUUAUUGCAAAAGAAACAAAAAAAAAUUCCUACAAAUUUUCCAAUACCAAAUCGAAUGAUCUAAAAAAAUUAAUAAAUAUCUUGGCCCCAUCUGACGUGUAACUAUAACGAAUAUAAAACGACAACCUGGUACACUGAAGAAGCGUCCACCCCUUACUCUCGGCCCAUCCACUCUAAAAUCUCCACCAGAAACAAGAUCCAAACCCCAACGAUAACAACAAAAAUGUCGAAACGGGACGGACGGGAUUCGUCCGUACCGUACGCCGCUCUCCCCUCAAACCCUAACCAGCAAAACGUCAUCGUUUUACCAGUUUAUUACAGCCGCCCGAACCAAAACUACCGUUGUCUCCGCCGUUGCCUCAUCUUCACCGGCAUUGUCGUCCUCCUCUCCGCCGCCGUAUUCUUCCUGUACCCUUCCGAUCCAACUCUCCAACUCGUCCGACUCCAACUCAACGACGUCCGAGUCAACUCGUCGCCCGCACUUACCCUCGACCUCUCUUUUUCUUUGACCAUCAGGGUCCGUAACAGGGACUUCUUUUCUUUGGACUAUGACAAGCUUGUCGUUUCGGUUGGGUAUAGAGGGAGGGAGCUUGGGGUGGUGAGUUCGGAAGGAGGGCGUGUGAGAGCUAGAGGGAGCUCCUACGUGAACGCCACGCUUGAUUUGAAUGGGUUUGAGGUGGUUCACGAUGUGAUUUAUUUGAUUGCGGAUUGGGCCAAAGGGGUUAUUCCCUUUGAUACUAAUACUAAGGUUGAUGGAGAUCUUGGUCUUUUCCUCUUUAAAGUUCCCAUCAAGGUUAGCCGUUAAAAGAAAAUCCCUUUUUACUGGUUUUCUUGAAUUUGGUUCUGCAUUCAAUUUGAUAGUUUAAUUGGUUUGAAGAGUAUUAUUUUGUGAUGAAAAUACGUUUUCAUUUUUUUAGCAUUUGAGUUUUAUUCUGCUCUGGCAAGUGAGUUUUAGUUAAUCAGUUUAUUGGUGAUGAUGCACAUUGCUGUUUGGUGGAUUGGCGAUGUUAAAACUUAGCUCUGAUGAUAGGUGCUUCUUCCAACUUGGUUAAGAAACUUUUUGAAAGGAACCUAGCUAUUUAGCCUAGCUUAUUGGAUUUUAGUUUUAAGUGCUGACCAGGGAAGAUGAAUCAACCCAAAAAAGGGACUAAUGUCUUAUGGGUGGUUGAGUAGAAACAUGAUCCACUUUUUAAUAACCUUAUUUUAGCCACACCAAACGCAUGGGUCAGGUUUUCCUUUAGUUGCAGUUAUGUUCUCAGUUCAGUCACAUCUUACCAAUGCAUAUUUGGAGAAUGCUUGCUAGUGCAGUACACUGUGAAUGCAGGCCAAAAUGUCAACUUUGUUUCAUUUAUAGUGAUUUGGUUGUUCGAUGUAGUUUUUUUUAUUUGAAGGGAUCAAUGCUGUUUUGGACUCAAUAAAGUUGUCUUAAAAUAAAAUCAUAUCUCUAGCAUUAAUUACUCGGUACAAAAAGCUGAAGCAGGGCUAAAUCCUUGAAUUUUAGUUGACGCGUAGAUGGCUAGUUAAAACAAGUAGGUACAUCACACCAUCACGAGAGAAUUUUUCAUUCGCAGUGGAUUUAAUAAGUUGGUUAAAAGUAUUGGAUGACUGCACUACUGGACCAUUGGAGCUUUGUGACUAAAACCACAGCAUGAUUAUGGAGUGAUUAAAACUAGUUCAACAUGAGUCGAUGCUUGUUUGUGUCAAAAAGUGACAAAGAGACCUUUGAAAAUCUUGGUACUUAAUUACUUGGGUUUGACUAUAAAUGUAUUAACGCUCAUAAUUUAUGAUGAAUGAGCAGAAAUUUUGUAAAGUGAAAACUUUUUCUUAUCUUUUCUGGGGAAGGGACAGGUUUUGUUUAUUGGUCAUUGAGAUGGCUAAUUGAAAACAGCUAAGCUAAGCAGAUGUGUGAAGGUGUUGAAACAGAUUGAGAUGGAGAACUAUUGUGCUAAAACGACAAAGCAAGCCUAUGAUUGGGCCCAAAUUGCUCAGAUAUGGCACACAAGUUGGUUGAUUAAUUGAGCAGAAGCAAUGAAAGGAUUAGUGUUUCCAUGCUUCAAAGUUCUUUUUUGUUAUUGAUACCUACUCAAUGAUUCAUUAGCAUCAUUCUGUACAAAUUGUAUUUAUAAUAGUACAGUCCUUACCAACAGAAUUGUAGCUUAUGCUUAUUGGAAAUUGUUUAAUAUGCGUAAUACAUAUGAAAACCUUUAUAUGUCUUGAGCAUUUAGUUGAAAAUGCAAAGUUCGUAGUUAGCAGCCAGCAUUCAUCUAUGUUUAUGAACAUGUGGAAAAGGCCUUGCAUCCCUGCUAACCCCCCAACCUGUUUUUCUUUUUCUUUUCUGAGGAUUGUUGUUUGGUACAAUAAAGUUAAAAUGUGCUUAUUUUCCGGAAUUCUUCACUCUGUUCCUUUUUAAUGGUUGUUUUAAAUAAUUCUGCAUGCUGAAUGAGAAUGCUUUAUGCUUCAACUACGUUUGAUUUAUGUUUCUAAUUUUCUAUGAUGUUUCAGGCAGAAGUAUCAUGUGAGGUAUAUGUAAAUACAAAUAACCAGACAAUUGUUCGUCAGGAUUGCUAUGCGGAGGUGAGGAUCCAUUUUUUGUUAUCCCUCUUUUAUUACAGUUAAUCUCUAGGUCUGUAAACCACAUUACAAGGAUGAUACGAACUUGAAGUAUAUAUGGAAUUGCUUGAUAAAGUGUGUGAACUAGGCGUGUGCUAAUGUGCUUUCAGACAAAAUGAUCAACUAUUCUGAUUUGGACAUUGCUUGCUCAUUGACAUUAUAUGCCAACAUAAAUUAUAAUUUGGGGGUCAUGAUCAAUUUGAGAGAAUUGGGAACUUGAUAAGCUGGAUUAAAAUUUGCUUUUGUAUCAUUGGCACACCCAUUAUCAUGGUGCAGGAAAAGUUUCAAAACAUUUUUUUUUCUGUUUUAAAAAGAGGGGAAAAGAAGUUAGGAAAGCAGGUUGCUCCUCCUUCUAUGCGUUAUUCUGUGGUUUCUGAUGUUCCAUGUGAACUGAAACUAGUGUAAUGUGGAACAUCAAGAUCCCUCAACCCAUUUUUUUCUUCCUUUACUUGCUAAGGACUGGUUUGAGAUUGCUUCCUGCUAUCAAUAUAAGAAGACUUUUUUAAUCCCUGUAGUCAUGUUUUUCAUAAAAUAUAGUAGUAUAUAUUUUACAUUUUUAAUCAUAACCCAUGAAUUGGUUUUGUGUUUUACAGUAAUGUGGUGGACAAUGCUCUGAUCUACCUUUUCAGCCCAUAUAUGUACUAGAAGUGGACAGAAUUGGAUGCUGGGUGAUUUUGUCAGCCCUUUGGUUAUAUUGUACAUGUUAAUGUAAGUGAUCCUAGUUUGGUUAGUUGGUGCAUAUUAACUAGCAGUUGUAAACUAAUGAUUGGAUGAAAACGGUUUAUUCAACUAAGAAAGGAAGCCAUUAUUUUUUUUUUCCUGUAUCUUACAUAUAUCAUUUAUUAAGAUUUACACGGAUGAGGUUGCCUAGAUUUGAGUUCUAUGUGAAAUUUAAUUUACAUUCCAGGUUGCUCUUAACUGCACAGACAGGCCAUACUGCUGAUCAGUAGUUAUAUUCUUUUAAGCUGAAUAAGGACAAAAAGGAAAUCCUCUUGCUGCUGCUAUUCAUUGUUAAUUUAUCAAUUCUCGUCAUGAAGAGUUUGGUGGGUGUCGAUUGUUUUCGUUUUUACUUUUGUACAAUUGAAUAUGGCCAACAGGGCGGAAGAAGUUCAAUCUUUGCACUUUAAUGUUCACAUGGAAGGGUAAAAUUGUUAGGCCAUGCUAAGGUUAUCAACUUAUUUAAGGGUGGGUGGUCAAUCUACGAAGAUGGUAAAACUGAAGCUCAUUACCCUGAUUUCUACAGUUUUCUUUUUUCGAUACUGAAUUCCAAUAUUAAACAUCUGCAAAACCCCCCGUCCUAUCAUUGUGGCAUGGCAUAUUCAGCUUUAUCUAAGAUAAGAGGGACAGAAGGGAAGGGGAAAGGGGGUUACCGAAGAAAAGGUUAGGGAGGUGCAGGUAUCGUGGGCAAAAGCUAUAAUGGGGUAAGAAAUUUUGAGAAAACAGAUACAGGUUUGCAGAAUUGACCAAUCAACCUGUAUAUUUUGUUUGUAAAUUCACAAGGAAAUAAAACAAAUGAAGAAUCUAAGAAGAGGAGGCCGUCCAUAUAGUUAUAGAAGUGUUCAAAUCAUUGGUUCCUUUGUACAAUGAUUUUAGACCUUCAACUAAAACUACUGGUCAUUCUUUUGUUACAAAUCGACCAACCUAGACGUCCUCCGCGCAGUGGUACGAUCAUUUCUUGCUGAUGAAUCGACCACCCCACACAUAUUCCCCAUGGUGAUGCCUACACCUAAACGACCCCGGGUGCUUCGUAGGUGAACACAAACACUGCUUCAUCGAGGUCGAGCCAGCUCCACCAGUCUCUCUUGCCACCCCAGCUCUUGGUGCAUGACGCGCAGCAGCCAUCAUUGAUGCCUGCAAAACGAACCAUCUGCGUUGCGCCACCAAGCCCUGUUUACCAACGGAAGGAACGCUUGUAUAGCACAUUUGUUUCUCCUUUCUUCUUUUUGCCCCUUCUCUCCCUUCUACCUCUCACUCUGGGUGGUAUUAUGUUGCUGCUGUGUGAGCAGAGCUUAAAAAGCAAAGAAUCUAGGCACCGGUGAGAUUAUAUGAUGGAAGGAAAGUAAGGAAUAAGGAGAGGUGGGCAAGGAAAGUUUUGAGCAUAAAGCGUUUUUGAUUGAUUCCAGAAAGCUUUUGCUUUAUCUUCAAAGCUUCGACUAGGUGCUUAUUUUAGAUCCGUCCAAAAGCAGCAGCUGCUCAUAUGCCCACUAGUCCAAAACAUGGCCUAACAAACAGAUACUUGCCCUCAAUGAUUCCAGUUCAAAAUCAGGUGCUGCCACGGCCUCCUAUGUCAAACGUGGCAGCACCUCAACGGUUCUGUCCUGACAGAUUAUAAAGUCUCUCUCCUAAUGCCUGCAUGACUUAGAUUACGACUCUGAUCAGGUCACUUUAGUUAGUCACUUUUUGAAACUUCCUUUGUUCGGUAAAUGGUGAUUGCUUAAGUUAAGCUUGCACAUGUUUUUCCACGCGGGAUAAAGUUUGGUUAGGCGGAAGCUGAAAUUAGGCUUGGCUUUUUAACAGGGGCUGUUGUCAUGUGGAAAUUACGAGUGUGAAGAACAAUGGUUGAGCUGAUGCUGACGCUUUUCCUAGUCCUAUCCUCGUCAAAAGCACAUUUCUUCUUGGAUUUUAGCAAACGACAAUGCCUUUUUGUCACCAUACUACUGGAAACACUGCGUGUAAUUGGGUAAAAGUAGUAAUGUAGUAAGGCGGAAGGUUGUUUUUGGCACGUACCAGGGAAAGCAUAGUAGGCUGUUUUUGGGACUACCAUAUCUAAUGGACAAGGCAAUCACUUCAGAAGAAUUUUCAAAGUCCCAUCUGCAUCUCUCGGUCCCUCUAGAAUUGUUGUUAUACUACUACUACUACUCCUAGUAGGUGACAACGGACAAGUCUUCCAUCCAUUAAAGAUAAUAACUGGAAACGUUAUUCUCAAAUACUGAUAUACAUGAUUCCAGUAUUUCUUAGUGAUUUAUACUACUUAUUUAGUUUAAUAAUAGUAUUAUCUUGCAGUUAAAAUAACAAUCAACCAUAUCUCUUUUUGAGCAAAUAAAAGAGAGAAAAUAAAAUCUUUUAUUGAAUUUUUAAAUCGAUAUUCAACUUUAAACCAAUUGACAAACAUAUAAAGAGAUUCUUAUUAUAUUUAUAUGUUUAAGAUACUCUUAACUUAAUAGAUAUGAGAUUUUUUAUUAUUAUUUUAAUAUUUUUCUUCACAUGUAAAGAUAAUGGAUCUAUCACGUGAUAUGAAUCACAGUUAAAUUCAUAAAGCAAUCAACAAAUAGAGUCAAAGCCUAUUUUAAUACCAAAUUAAAAUUUUAAAUUGAUAUCCAACUUAAAAUCAAUAUAUAAUAAAUAAAAAAUUGUUUUUUGAUUUAUAUAAUAUAAUCAGUAUGGCCUACCUAUUACAGUCGAAGAAAAUAUGCCAUCAGGCGGCCAAGAUCCUCAUUCAUGUUAGUUCAGCUUGUUUAGUUGCUCUUGAGAUUUGGGCAUGAGGCCCUUUAUCUUAUACAUAAGAAAAGUUACUAGAAUUAAGCUUUAUCAGGCUUUUCAGCCUAAGAGAACGAAGGCCCAUUACCCCGUCUGCAUUUUGCAGUACGAAAUUGCAAGUCGUUUUAAUUUGACCUGGUUCCUGGUUUCCUAUUUGGUGACUUGGUACAAGCUCUUGGAUUUACCUCUGUUGUUAACAAGGCAAUGGAAAGCAAAAGCAAUGUGGAGGAAAGAAGAGAGAUUUCUUUCUGGCCCGUCCCUUGUGGCUUCUUUAAUUUUAUGAAGGAAAAAUGUAGAAUUAUAAUCAAAAGCCGCAAAGAAAGAACAAAUAAAGGAAGAAGAAGACUCAGUUUCUCUUGAACUAGCACAAUUCAAGUCUCUGUCCCUAACAAUGGCAUUGGGAAUUGCAAUUUCUACAAUGACAACAGCCCAACUGCACUAAUUGUUGAAGGGGUUUUCAAUUCAGCUUCUGCUGGGAUUUUGAUUUACAUGGCUGCGGAUUUCCAUGAACCCAAGGUUGCAAAGCAAUGUUAGGCUUCAACAAGGAGCAAAUGUCUCACUUCUUCUAGGGGCUGGCUGGCAUCUCUGUGUCGGCCAAAUGGGCUUGUUCAAUUGUGGGUGUUUUUCUUCUCUGAAGUAAUGCAUGCCCUCCUUUUGUACCAUUCAAUUUUGGUACAUGCCCAAUGAUAUUUAUAUGCUUUUUCUCCAUUGGAGCAUUACCUUGGUCUACAAUAUUGCGUAGACUUAUUGUCCACUUCAAAAACUAAUAGAUUCAUGUAAAAUUAUCAUUAAAAGUUAGAGAGUGAAAAUAUUUUACUCAAAUAAAUAAAUAAAACCAAAAAUAACAAAUCAUGUCAAAACCAAUUUUGUGUAAUACCAACAUCUUUGAUGGAAUGUUGGGGAGUAACACCUUGCUUUAUUUGUUACUAAUCAUCAAGUGUUCACCCCAAAAAUAAAUGUAUAUUAGCAUAAUAAGAUGAAACUUAGAACAUUAGUCAACUGCCUAAUCUAGCUGAUUAACAGCAAAAUCAAGCAUUAGCUAGGCAACAUCUUAUUCGUCCGUACGCAAUGAAAGCAAAUUGAAUUCCUGAACUCUCUAUUAUGGUUCUAUCAGUCAAUUUCCAGAAGCCAUAUAGGCUACAUGGCAAGGCAUCCUUGAUUGCAACCCAAUCUACUAGCUAUACCUGUACUUCUUUUUAUUAACAAAUACAUAUGGUAUUUUUCAAUUUUUUUUUAAAGUAAAUGUUGCAAUUGAUGAUGACUUUGAUAAAUAUAAAAGUCAAUUGUCGUUUUCCAUCCAUGUGUAAAACCAUUCUAAAUCAAAGCAAACAAAUUUGACCUUCUAAUUUGAAAUGUUCGGUGUGCCCAAACUGACAAGGACCGCUGGUGUGGUAUAGUUGACAGUUGCUCCUACUUUUAUUAUUUAUUGUAAUAAAAGAAAAACUUUGAAUUGUCUAUCAUGUAAUAAGAUCAUCAUUCAUUACAUGCGUAAAUUACCCAAGAUAUGCAAUUAUUUUCUAAAAUCUGGUAAUGAUUCCAAGCAGAAUAUCAGUGGAAAUGUUAAGCUGGCAUGGUGCCAGCAUAAAUUCUCUUCUUUAAGCAUCAAUUCUUUUUUCCAUGACCAAACCUUUUUUUUUACACUAUUUUGUAUUACACCAAUGCACACGUAAUCAAAUGCCAACUGUAAACAUGUCUAUCUACUUCCAUUUUUUCACUUGCAAGGAAAAUAUCCCUGAUCAAACCCUUGUACAGUACACUGCUGGCCAAAAUGGUGAUAUAUAUAUAUAUAUAUUUUAUACUUAUAUUAUUAUUUCACUAUUUAUUUAUUUUAUUUCUUCCNUGGUUAUAUAUAUAUAUAUACUAUAUAAUAUAUAUAUAUAUAUAUAUAUAUAUAUAUUUGUGGAGAAAAAGGAGUAAACGAAACAUAAAAGGGCACGAGGGGAGUAAAAGAAAUCAGGCCAGCCAAUGGCACCAUGACACUUUACGUACGCUAUUCAAUGUUAGCGUAGCCGCCAACCGGGUCAAAAAUUCUAGUGUCUGUGGACGCGUCUGGAAAAGACCACAUUAGUUCCCAAUACAUCGCCCUUCCAGGAAAUUGCCUAUACCACGGAAAACUCCCACUAUAUAUAUCAUCAAUUCGUCUCCAACAUCUCCUCGCAAGACAACCUUCCUUUCUGCUCUGUUAAUUUCUUCCGUCUCUCCCUUCCCCUGUUAAAAAGGAAAAACACCCAGGAACUGUCUUGCUUGUUUUCUUUAGUUAGUUUGAAGAUGCGUUCGAUGAGGUUUCCUGUUCUUCCAGUUAUUGGUUUCCUGUUCUUCGCACUUUUGCAACUCAGUUACGGGCAAAGCAUGGGUUCUUCUCCUGCACCUGCUCCUGCUUUACCAAACGAUGGUACCGCGGUUGAUCAAGGAAUUGCUUACAUGCUCCUCCUAGUUGCCCUGGCAAUUACCUACCUCAUCCAUUGAUUUUUAUUCAUAUAUUACUUUUUCUUUUUGUAUUUUCUCCAUGAAUUCAGCGACAGAAAUUGCAGCGAAUUUUAUAUUUUUUUUCCAUCUCUCUAUUGUAAAUCUCAUUCAAUAAAGUUUAUAUUUGAUACUAUGUAUGGUUAAUCGACCAAAAAAAUUGAUACUUCAUAACAAAAUUAACAAUUUAUAAGUCUUUAAGCAAAUAUUAAUUCCUUUGCAGUGAAUAAAUCUUAUACGAGUAUAGUGAAUCAUACUCUACCACCUCGAUAAUGACAACUAAAAAAUUUUAGAAGUCAUUCAAAAUAAUACAUAACUUAAUUUAAUUUUUAAUGAGAUAAUACAACUUUUUUUAUUUUGAUAAAUAUAAAAGAUCCAUACGAAACAUUAAAAAAAAAACCAAAUCAAUAAAGGCGAAGGAAGCCCAAGAGACACUAAAUAUACCGAUCCCCAAAAAUUCCAUUAUUUGAAGAAAAAGAAAAUCAUUAUAGAAAUUUUAGGAAAAAAACACUUAAAGUUCAUUGGGAUUAAAUUUUUUAUUUUAAAUUUUUUUAAAAAUUUUAAAUUUUUCACUGAUGAAGUGAUGAUAUGUGAUUUAUUAUAAGUGUAUAGAAUUUAUACACUGAUAAUAUAUCAAAUAUAAACUCUUACAAUUUUAAAUUUCUUUUCAUAAAUAUUCAUAUUCAAAGUAUAAUAUUUAUCCAAUGACAAUGUAUAAUAUAUGUAUUCCCUCUAUGGAUUCAGUGGGAGAUUUUGGUUUUUUUCCGUUGGUGUAUUGUAAAUCUCAUCCAAUGAAUAACUAUAUGAUAUAAUAUCUAAAAAAGACUUUUAAAUUAUUCAAAUAAGUUCUAUCUAUUUAUAUGUAAAAAAAAUUAAUACACACAAUAAACUUUGUUCAUUUUAAAUAAAUAUUAUUGAUUAUAUUUUCAAUAACAAUUAUAAAUUCAUAGUGAUAAAAUUUAUCUUAUACAUAUAUAAGAAUUUUAAUUCUAUUAAAUCGCUCUCAUUAAAUAGUGAUUUACUUGACUCAAUAUUAUUUAUUUAAUAUAUAUCUAAAUUAUAAUCAUUUUAAAUAUUAUAAUUAAAAAUAAAUAAAAAAAUUAAUACUAAUAAAAGUAGUGAUGAAUUCAAGGUUUUGAACGAAGAAUGAUUAAAGGGUAAUUAUACAAGUUCAUGUAUCGAGUUAAUGAUUCAAUUCAAAGCAAAAAUUAAUCACUUUUAAAAUAAAAUUAAAUCGAAGGUUACGCUUUGAGAUGAAUGGAUAGCUAAAUGAAGAGAUUACGAAAGAAGAGGUAAGAAUUGCUCUGUUCCAAAUGUAUCCCAGUAACGCUCUUGGACCUGACGGAUUCCCUGCCAUAUUUUGUCAAAAAUUUUGGGAAAUAUUGGCAAUGAUGUUUAUAAAUAUUUUGUUGAGUUUUGGAAGGAAGGACACAGGAUCUGAACUUUAACCACACACAUAUUGUCUUGAUUCCAAAAGUCAAACAACCGGAGUCAGUGACCCAAUUUCGGCCAAUCAGUCUGUGUAACACCCUCUACAAAAUAGCCUCCAAAGUUCUUAAACAGAUUAAAACCUUUUCUGCCUUCAAUCAUUUCAGAAAAUCAGAGCGCGUUUGUUCAAGGACGGCCAUUAGCAGACAAUGUCAUUGCGGCCCAGGAAAUCAUUCACAGUUUACAUAACAAGAGAUUGGGGAAAGUUGGCAAUUUUGCUCUUAAACUUGAUAUGAGUAGGGCUUAUAAUAGAGUGGAGUGGAACUGUGUUAAAGGCAUUAUGUGAAAGAUGAGCUUUGAAGGAAAGUUUUUGGAUAUGAUUUGGAGAUGCAUUUCAACUAUGUCUUACUCGGUUUUAAUCAAUGGGGUACCAGGACAGAGUUUUGUUCCAUCAAGAGGUUUACGUCAAGGAGAUCCUCUUUCUCCUUUUCUCUUCGUUAUCAUGUCUGAAGCUCUUUUUGGCCUUAUAAACUGGUCACAGGAGACAAACAUCAUCUCAAGAUUGAAGAUAUGCCGUAGAGGGUCAAAUAUCACCCACCUAUUGUUUGCUGAUGAUAGUAUGAUUUUUGGAAAGGUCAAAAGGCAAGAAAUACAAGUAUUGAAAGGAAUUUUUGAAAAAUAUGAAGCUGCUUUAGGACAGAAAAUUAACAAGGACAAAUCAGGCUUGCUUUUUAGCAGAAACACCCCAACUGAGGAAACAGUAAUGGCAAGUCAAAUUCUUGGUAUCAAUGAAGCUCAAUGGGGAGGAAUGUACUUGGGUAUGCCUUUAGUUGCAGGAGGGUCCAAAAAACAGAUGUUCCGUUUCCUCAAAGAAAGGGUUGUUAAACGCAUUUCUAAUUGGAAAAACAAAAUGCCAUCAGCAGCGGGAAGAGAAAUUCUUAUUAAAUCCGUGGCGCAAGCAAUUCCAGCCUUUUGUAUGAACUGUUUCAAAAUUUUGAAUUCUUUGUGUCAUGAUAUUGAUUCGGUUAUUGCACAAUUUUGGUGGGGUAGAAAUAAUACGACUCAAAAAAUCCAUUGGAAGAAUUGAAAAUCUAUGUGUGUAUCAAAAUUUUUAGACGAAAUGGGAUUUCGGGAUACAAAAAGCUUCAAUCUAGCCAUGCUUGCGAAACAAGGAUGGAAACUUCAGUUGCAAGUGCCCACACUUGCCUACAAAGUGCUCAAAGAAAGAUACUUCCCCACAACUGAUUUUUUGAAUGCUCUAAUUGGUACUAACCCAAGCUACUUAUGGAGAAGCAUUCGGGAAAGCCAACAGCUGAUUACAAUUUGGAGGGUAGGAGAUGGACAGAGUAUUAGUGUCUUACAUGAUGUUUGGAUUCCGUAUGAAUCUCCUAGGCUUCUAUCUUUUCCUAAUCAAUUGAUUGAUGAAAGAUGAAGGUAUCGGAGUUGAUCGAUCAAAGGACCAUGACAUGGAAUGAUGUGAAAAUAACAGAGAUUUUUCCUACUUAUGAACGUGAACUGAUUUUGUCCAUUCCUUUGAGCUACAGGCAUCCCAAUGACAAGCAAGUGUGGUUCUUUAACAGGCAUGGUCACUACUCAGUGAAAUCUGGGUAUAGAAUGGCUCAAUCUUUAUUGGACUUGCAGGUAGCGGAGAGUUCAAGUUGUAAUAUGAUGGCUUUCUGGAAAAGAAUAUGGCAUCUGGAAUUACCAGGGAAGGUUAUUUUAUUUUUGUGGAAGACUUUAAAUGGUAUUCUCCCAACCCGCCAAGCCUUAAUUUAUAGGAGCAUCAUAUCUGAAAACAAUUGCCCUUCUUGUGACAAUGAGCUGGAAACUGAUUUCCACUGUCUUUGUUGCUGUCCAUUAGCAAGAGCAGUUUGGCAUUUUUCUAAGUGGGGUUUUACUAACAUAGAGGUGUUGUUCUCUUCUGCACAAGAUUGGAUGUUUUAUAUUUUUUCCAAAUGAUGGAGAAUGAAGAGAUUGAAGAAAUUGGAUGUAUCUUAUGGGCUUUAUGGAAAGUUCAAAAUCUGAAGAUUUUUCAAGGAAAGAGCUUUGAGCCAUUGCAAAUUAUUGAGUUAGCUGGCAAUUUAUUAGAGCAAGACAGGCUUGUUAAGGGAGUAAGGUCAAGAAGGAGGAUCUUGCAGAUUAAUCGAACAUGUGAAUGGAGAGCUCCGGUUGAGAGCAAAUUAAAUGUGGAUGCCUCUAUUUUUGAGCUUUCAAGUGUAAGGCGGAUGGGAGUUGGAUUUAUUGUUAGGAAUGCAAUAGGAGAAGUUGAAUUGGCUGGAGUAAGAAGAAUGGUUAUGGGUCAAUCGGUGGAGGAAGCUGAAUUGUCUGCUUUAGCUUGGUCUCUUCGCUGCUGCCAAAGGGAGAAUAUCAUGGUUAAGGAAAUUGAAAUGGAUUGUAAGAUGGUGGUUGAAUGGAUAAAAGGAAGACAUUUGUCUGGUAUUCUGAGUCAUAUUGUAGAAGAUUGCCUCAAUUUGAUGGAGAGUAUUAAUUGUGUUGAUAUCCUCCAUUGCUCAAGAGAAGGUAAUGAAGUAGCGCACAUGAUAGCUAAAAAGGCAAAAGAAAUUAGAGAGGAAGCGAUUGCCUGGUUCAAUAUUUUCUCAAAUGCCGGAGGAUUUUUAACAAGCUAUCAUUAAAGAGGCUGGAAGCUUGGUCGAAGGAGAUUAGCAGUGUUGAGAAGAAUGUUUAUUGAAAAUGUUGUUUCAAAAUAUAUUUGUCAGUUGUUUUUAUUUAGUGAUGAUAAUGAAUUCAUAUUUUAUUUCAAAAAAAAAUUUAUAAUAUAAAAUUCUUUAACAAUUUAAAUAUAAUUUUCAGAUUCACUAAUACAAAUAGAUAUAAAAUAGAAAAAAUUAACAUUAAAUUUUCACAUUACGUAUUGCAAAAUUGUUACACAAUGUAUUUUUUACAUAAUUAUGCCAAGUGUUCAAACUUACAUCAAUCUAGUUACAGGAAAAUAUAUGCUAAAGCCAAAUCCUAUGAUACAUAUUAAUAGUUAUUUGGUUUGGAAAGAAAAAAUUAUAACAAAAUUUGUUUAAUUGGUUCAUGGAAAAGGAGAAUAAGAAAAAUGGUUUUUCUAAUGUGAUGAAUGAUAAUUGUUUGAUUAAUUCAUAAAAAAAAAUCAUAUAGUCCAAUACAUGUUAGUAGUUAUUUGGUUUGAAGAAAAAAAAAAAGAAAAAAAUUGUUUGAUUGAUUUAAGAUAAAAAGAAUAGGAGAAAGGGCUUUUUUAAUUUGAUGUAUGAUAACAGUUUAAUUGAUUAAAAAAAAGAGAAAGAGUUUUUUCAAUUUGAUGAAAGGUUUUUCUAAUUUCAUUAAUGAUAAUUGUUUGAUUAAUUUAAAAAAAAGGUUUUCCUCCAAAAAAUUUAUAAAAGAAAAAAAAUGUCUAACCAGCAAGUAUAUUAAACUUACAUUUUAAUAAAUAAGGGUAAUUUUGAAAAUUAAUAUUACAUUUAUAACAAAAUACUUAUAAAUCAAACGUUGUAAUAUUAUUUUCUCUAUAUUUUAAAAUUAUUUUGCUUGUAUACCAAACACUAUAUUGUUAUUUUCUUUGCAAUUGCAUUACUUUUAAUUAUAUGCAAUUACUUGUAAUCACAUUGUAUUGUAAAGUACCAAACGUUAUCUUACAUACAAUCACAUUAUCUGUAAUCAUAAUACAUUAUAAAGUACCAAAUGUCAUCUAAAACUUACCAUUAUUUCAAAAAAAAUUAUUUGAUUUAAUUAAUGAUGACAAAAAUAUCUUAAAUUUUAUAUAUAUGAUAAUAAAAAAAAUCUAAAAACUGAAGUCUCCCUCCGCCCUGUAUAAAAGCAUGAAUAUCUAAAAAAAACAAGUUGAUUAUAAAUUUUCAAUUAUAACAAUAAAUUAAUAGUAAUAAGAUUUAUUUUGAAAUAAAGACCCUGCAACAAAUACUAGCAUGAAAAACGACAAAUGUAAGAACUCAGAAUGUAUUAUGCGAAAGUUGUUUUAAUUGUCCAAAGGUCGGUCUAGCAUUUUAUAUAUCGUUUUUGAGAAAUGAAACAACAUUAGGCAUAUCACCAUAUUCAGACUUCUUUCCAACAAAGUGAGUAACGAGUUACAAACUUUUCAUAUCUAGUAACCCAUAAAUUUAUCCAAAAUUAAUUCAAAAGUUUAUUUUUUGCUCUUUUCCUAACUCAAUAACCUUCAUCCCCGCUGCUCUGCUCAUUCAAAGACUCUAUCUCAUCGACUUUUAAAUUAAAUCGUAUAAAAUUUUAAUUUCUAAUAAUUUAUCUAAUAGACACAUCCUUUUUUUUAUUAGCAAUAUAUUUAUCUCUUUGUAAUUGAUAAUAUAGACUAGUGAAAAAGGCAGAACAACUACAAAAUGGUUCAAGGUUACCAUUAAACUUUUUCGGGCUUCAUACCAUUAUCAAGCCCAACUGAAUAUAUAUACAAAGAGAAUUAUAAAUUUUAGUUUGAUUAAACUAAAAGAAUGCAACUAAAUAAAAUUUAAUUUCAAAAUUCCUCAAAAUUUUGUUAUAACUAUUUUUAAUAGGACACUAUAUUAAAAAAAAAAAAAGCUGAAAAUCCAUGUUAGAAAAAAUGAUCUCAAAUAAAAGAUUAGCUUUAUCCUUGUACUGAUAGGGGAAGAUACACUACUCCACCAACCCAUAAUAAGCAAAUGCAAGCCAAUCAGCUCCUUCCACGUAACUCCAUAAUGGCAUCCUACGUUGUAAGUCGUGGGCACUGCCUCUUCCAUGUCCAUGCCUUUGCCUUCUUCUUUCUCUCUUUUUCUGGCUUCAAGUCACCCACCGUCAUUUCUGUCUUUCCAUUUAAAAAAAAAAAAUUUCGAUCGCAUUAGUUUUUCCAUUUACUCUUCAAAAUUUUUUUUCAUGCCCCAAGCUUUUUAAAGCACGUGAUUAGUUUGCGUCAUUCUAAUUUCUUCUUCUUCUAAUAAAAAGGUAUAUAUCGUAUCGCUCCGUUUUAUCUGCUUGUCUUUUGGCUUUGUUGAAACAAAGGCAAAAAAAACGAUAAAGAAAACCCAGUAAAAGAGGCAAAUCGAUUUGGGUAUGUUGUAAUGUUUUUGUUUCUUGGGUGCAUUGUUUUAUGGCAAUCGGUUUCUGGGUAUUGAUUUUUUGUGCUUUUUUAAUAGAAAAUUUGUGAUUUUUUUAUUGUUUUAGGGUCAGUUUUUGGAUGAUCGUCUGUUUUGUGAAUAUCCAAAUUGAGGUUUGUUUGAUCGGUUUUUUGUUUGGGGCCGAUGCUGAAAUUUGUUGGAGUUUGAAACUAAAAUAAAAAUGAAAACUGAUUUGUAAAGCUUGAAACUAUAUUUAGGAAAGUGAUUGCUGUUUGGAUUUUCGAUGAUAUUUUUGUGUUUAGAACUGAUUUGGAUUCAGUUUUGAGUUAAGUGUGUUUUUUGCCUAGCUAAAAGAUCAAUGUUUAUUUCUGGUUUUUGUAAUGAUGAUCAGAGUGUGGUUUUUGCAGCUUGGAUGAAUAUGAUAUUGCAGUGCAUUUUUACUUAGAUGAUGCUUUACACUUAGUUCUUGAUGUUAUAAUCAUGCAAUUUAACUAUGGUUACUUGUCACUUGAGUUCUGUCUUUGUGAUGUAUAAUUGUUGAAGUAGAAUGUGUUAGGUUGCAAUAAAAUUGAAAUGGAUUAUGAAUUUUACACUAUGUUAUGAAUUCCCAUUUUGUGGGAUUGUUGUUUCUAGACUAUAUGUUUACCCAUUAACAUAUAUGUCGCUUGCUUUCUGUGGGUUUGAGAUACUUUGGUUGAAAAUUUGUAGUUUUUAGCUAAGGGGUGUUUUGAUGAUUAAAGAAAAUAUUGUGAAUAAUGGUUUGAUAGGAGGAGGUUUCUUUUUUGCAUGGGAAAAGAAUGCCAGAUUUGAGAGGUGGAAUUAGACGAUCAAAGAGGAUCAAUGACAACCAGGAGAGCCCUGCUGCCUUAGUUCCAACUGCUCGGCGUGGUGCUGGUAAUAACUCUUUUAAGUUUUAUCUUUAAAUCUUUUAUGUUUCAAAUCAAUCCACUUUACCUGCUGUUUUCUUGUGUAAAUCCAUCAUAGCUAGUAGAGGUAGAGGUAGAGGGCGCAGAGCAAUGAAUCAAGAUGACAAUGGCAAGCUUGUUGGUCCUGCUGCCUGUGGCAGGGGUUGCACUGGAUUAAACUUGCCAGUGAGGCAGGUAGUUGAGAAAAGUGCAGAAAGACUGGUUGCUGUCGAGGAAGAAGGAAGCACUAGUUCACUUCCUGAAAGGGUACUAAUUUUCUUCGCUGUUAAUCUGCCUUUUAGUUGUUAUAAUGGAGUGAUAAUGGAUUAAGAGCCUUGUGUUAGUGGGUGGGGAUGUCAGACUGUUUGAGGUAAAUGACCAGACAGACCUAAGGAACUGCGUCAACAUUCCCACUUCCCUUAUCAAGAAAAAGAAGAGGCACAAUAACUGUCUUUCUGGUUAUGCAUGAUUUUAUAAGUGUUGUAUAUGGUCAAAUCCGACAACUUACACAUAUGUUUCAUCAUCAAAUUUCAUGCCAAGCCUCUUUUUCAAGUGAUUUCUACUAAAUGUUCCAUAUGCUUCUCUUUUGACAGGUUCAGCUUGGUAACUCCCCUGUGUACAAGUUAGAUAGAAAGCUGGGCAAAGGGGGUUUUGGACAAGUUUAUGUUGGAAGAAGGAUCUCUGGUGGCACAGGGUGCAGUGGGCCUGAUGCCUUUGAGGUUCUGUUUCACUUGCAGCUCCAGUGAAGCUGAACAAAAUUCAUGGGAAGUUAAUUCUGUUACUAAUGCCAUUAUCCUGUUACAUUUUGUAGGUUGCUUUGAAAUUUGAACAUCGAAAUGGUAAAGGAUGUAGUUCUGGUCCUCCUUAUGAGUGGCAAGUGUAUAGGUAUGCAGAUUUUGUUCUUUCAGUCAUUUGAACUUUGAAUAUUAUGAGCUAAUUUAUUUUCCUGUCUCGAAAUUAUCAUUCAGCACUCUCAAUGGUUGUUAUGGACUUCCCUUGGUUCAUUACAAAGGUCAACUAGGAGACUACUACAUUCUAGUGAGUUCCUUUAGUAUAGAAUGUCAACUUCACUGUUGUAUUUUUGAAAAAAGGGAAAAAAAGAGUUUUUAUUGAUGUUUCUGGGAAUCUUGUGAAUCUAGGUCAUGGAUAUGCUGGGUCCAAGUUUAUGGGAUGUUUGGAACUCAAGCAACCAGAUGUACGGAACUAUUAUUCUCUCUUUCCCCCCUCAUUUUUUUACAUUAUCAUCAGUUUUCCUAAAAUGGUAUACUUUGAAUAUUUUGUAUCUAAAACCUUGUUGUUACUAUUGUUGUUGCUUUGGGUAUAGGCUGACUGAAGAGAUGGUUGCUUGUAUAGCAGUGGAGGCAAUAUCAAUUCUUGAGCAGCUUCAUCACAAAGGGUACUUUGAAAUUGUUACAUUCCAUUUUUUUUCCUCACUUCUUUUACUGCCUGUUGUAUUUUGUCCACAUUUCUUUUCUCCACUUCAGUUUUGUACAUGGAGAUGUUAAGCCCGAGAACUUUUUGCUUGGCCAGCCUGGGACCUCGAAUGAGAAGAAGUUAUAUCUAAUUGAUCUUGGUUUGGGUAUAGCUGCUUUCAUUUCUUUACAUCUUGGAGAUGUAUACUAUUUUAUAGCAUAUUAUUUUUGGAAUGGCUUAUAAUUCAGUUCUUUGACCUUUUUCAGCUUCAAGAUGGAAGGAGACAGCUUCUGGACGUCAUGUUGAUUAUGACCAAAAGCCUGAUGUCUUUAGGUGACUGACUCUAAGUACUAAGGCUGCUAUGUUUUGAAGAUGAACAUUUGUCAGAAAACUCCCAUUUUUAUUUUAUUUUUUUUUUCUAUGGAUAUAUAUGCUUAUAGAUUUUAUUGAAUAGCUAGCAUAAUUUUCCCAGCCUAUUUGCCUGCACUUACUUUUCAGACUGAAGGAACACAAGAUUUUGAAUCUUCAGAUUGCCACUUUGAAUUUA
rnacentral:lncRNA from 1 species